CCUACGGGAGGCAGCAGUGAGGAAUAUUGGACAAUGGGCGCAAGCCUGAUCCAGCUAUUCCGCGUGUGGGAAGACGGCCUUCAGGUUGUAAACCACUUUUGUAGAGAACGAAAAGUCUAUUGAUACUACCGAUAGAUGAUGACGGUACUCUAAGAAUAAGCACCGGCUAACUACGUGCCAGCAGCAGCGGUAAUACGUAGGGUGCGAGCGUUAAUCGGAAUUACUGGGCGUGAAGGGUGUGCAGGCGGUUUUGCAAGAUGGAUGUGAAAGCCCCGGGCUUAACCUGGGAAAGCCAUACAUGACUGCAAGACUAGAGUGCGUCAGAGGGUGGUGGAAUUCCAAGUGUAGCAGUGAAAUGCGUAGAUAUUUGGAAGAACACCGAUGGCGAAGGCAGCCCCCUGGGACGCAACUGACGCUCAUACACGAAAGCGUGGGGAGCAAACAGGAUUAGAUACCCGUGUAGUC
rnacentral:rRNA from 1 species